rnacentral:rRNA from 1 species
GACGUAGGGGGCCAGCGUUGUUCGGAAUUACUGGGUGUAAAGGGUUCGUAGGCGGUGCGGCAAGUUGGGAGUGAAAUCUCUGGGCUUAACCCAGAGGCUGCUUCCAAAACUGCUGUGCUUGAGUGUGGGAGAGGCGCGUUGAAUUGCAGGUGUAGCGGUGAAAUGCGAAGAUAUCUGCAGGAACACCCGUGGCGAAAGCGGCGCGCUGGACCACUACUGACGCUGAGGAACGAAAGCUAGGGGAGCAAACAGG